rnacentral:rRNA from 1 species
CAUGUCCUACGGGACGCAGCAGUGAGGAAUAUUGGUCAAUGGUCGGGAGACUGAACCAGCCAAGCCGCGUGAGGGAUGAAGGCACAGAGUAUCGUAAACCUCUUUUGUCAGGGAACAAAGGCGGGGACGUGUCCCCGGAUGAGUGUACCUGAAGAAAAAGCAUCGGCUAACUCCGUGCCAGCAGCCGCGGUAAUACGGAGGAUGCGAGCGUUAUCCGGAUUUAUUGGGUUUAAAGGGUGCGCAGGCGGUCUGUUAAGUCAGCGGUCAAAUCCCGGGGCUCAACCCCGGCCCGCCGCUGAAACUGG